rnacentral:rRNA from 1 species
AGGACUUUCCAGAGAUGGAUUGCUGCCUUCGGGAACUCUGAGACAGGUGCUGCAUGGCUGUCGUCAGCUCGUGUUGUGAAAUGUUGGGUUAAGUCCCGCAACGAGCGCAACCCUUAUCCUUUGUUGCCAGCGGUCCGGCCGGGAACUCAAAGGAGACUGCCAGUGAUAAACUGGAGGAAGGUGGGGAUGACGUCAAGUCAUCAUGGCCCUUACGAGUAGGGCUACACACGUGCUACAAUGGCGCAUACAAAGAGAAGCGAACUCGCGAGAGCAAGCGGACCUCAUAAAGUGCGUCGUAGUCCGGAUUGGAGUCUGCAACUCGACUCCAUGAAGUCCGAAUCGCUAGUAAUCGUAGAUCAGAAUGCUACGGUGAAUACGUUCCCGGGUCUUGUACACACCG